UGAGGAAUAUUGGUCAAUGGGCGGGAGCCUGAACCAGCCAAGCCGCGUGAGGGAGGAAGGCCCUAUGGGUCGUAAACCUCUUUUGUCAGGGAACAAAAGCGAGUAUGUAUACUAGUCUGAGUGUACCUGAAGAAAAGGCAUCGGCUAACUCCGUGCCAGCAGCCGCGGUAAUACGGAGGAUGCGAGCGUUAUCCGGAUUUAUUGGGUUUAAAGGGUGCGUAGGCGGCGGUGCAAGUCAGCGGUAAAAGCCCGGGGCUCAACCCCGGCGAGCCGUUGAAACUGCAGUGCUAGAGAAGGCGAGAGGUACGCGGAAUGCGCAGUGUAGCGGUGAAAUGCUUAGAUAUUGCGCAGAACUCCGAUUGCGAAGGCAGCGUACUGGCACCUGACUGACGCUGAGGCACGAAAGCGUGGGGAUCGAACAGGAUUAGAUACCC
rnacentral:rRNA from 1 species